ACAGCCUCAAUGCGUUUAAGAUAAGCUGGCAAUAAAAAAGGCAGAAUCUAUCCCCGAUGAUAGGCUUUUUUGUUGUACUUAUUUAUACGAUAUUGAGCAUUCGUUAGUUACGGUGAGGAUAUAGAUUAUUUAACUAUACCUUAAUUUAACUAUGUCUAAAUAUGAAUGCUUCUAAUUGUAUGUAAGCAGACCAAAAGCCACAUUGUGGAUUUAGGCCUGCAUUUUUUAU
rnacentral:ncRNA from 1 species